rnacentral:rRNA from 1 species
GACGAACGCUGGCGGCGUGCUUAACACAUGCAAGUCGAACGGAAAGGCCCUGCUUUUGUGGGGUGCUCGAGUGGCGAACGGGUGAGUAACACGUGAGUAACCUGCCCUUGACUUUGGGAUAACUUCAGGAAACUGGGGCUAAUACCGGAUAGGAGCUCCUGCUGCAUGGUGGGGGUUGGAAAGUUUCGGCGGUUGGGGAUGGACUCGCGGCUUAUCAGCUUGUUGGUGGGGUAGUGGCUUACCAAGGCUUUGACGGGUAGCCGGCCUGAGAGGGUGACCGGCCACAUUGGGACUGGGAUAGGGCCCAGACUCCUACGGGAGGAAGCAGUGGGGAAAAUUGCACAAUGGGCGGAAGCCUGAUGCAGCAACGCCGCGUGCGGGAUGACGGCCUUCGGGUUGUAAACCGCUUUCGCCUGUGACGAAGCGUGAGUGACGGUAAUGGGUAAAGAAGCACCGGCUAACUACGUG